rnacentral:rRNA from 1 species
CCUACNGGGUGCAGCAGUGGGGAAUAUUGCACAAUGGGCGCAAGCCUGAUGCAGCCAUGCCGCGUGUAUGAAGAAGGCCUUCGGGUUGUAAAGUACUUUCAGCGAGGANGAAGGCAUUAANNUUANUAACCUUAGUGAUUGACGUUACUCGCAGAAGAAGCACCGGCUAACUCCGUGCCAGCAGCCGCGGUAAUACGGAGGGUGCAAGCGUUAAUCGGAAUUACUGGGCGUAAAGCGCACGCAGGCGGUUUGUUAAGUCGGAUGUGAAAUCCCCGGGCUCAACCUGGGAACUGCAUUCGAAACUGGCAGGCUGGAGUCUUGUAGAGGGGGGUAGAAUUCCAGGUGUAGCGGUGAAAUGCGUAGAGAUCUGGAGGAAUACCGGUGGCGAAGGCGGCCCCCUGGACAAAGACUGACGCUCAGGUGCGAAAGCGUGGGGAGCAAACAGGAUUAGAUACCCCAGUAGUC